GAUGAACGCUGACAGAAUGCUUAACACAUGCAAGUCGAUGGGGAAGUGGUGCUUGCACCCUGGCAACCAUGGCGGACGGGUGCGUAACGCGUAAGGGACUUACCUGCAGGACUGGGAUAACAGGGGGAAACUCCUGACAAGACCGGAUAAUGUCAUGGAGCUGCAUGGCUUUAUGAUGAAAGGAGACGCCUGCGGAGAGCCUUGCGUCCUAUUAGCUAGUUGGUGAGGUAAUGGCUCACCAAGGCGAAGAUAGGUAGCCGGCCUGAGAGGGUGGACGGCCACAAGGGGACUGAGAUACGGCCCUUACUCCUACGGGAGGCAGCAGUGGGGAAUAUUGGACAAUGGGGGCAACCCUGAUCCAGCAAUUCUGUGUGCACGAAGAAGGUUUUCGGAUUGUAAAGUGCUUUCAGCAGGGAAGAAGUAAGUGACGGUACCUGCAGAAGAAGCGACGGCUAAAUACGUG
rnacentral:rRNA from 1 species